AGGGGUAUAGUUCAGUUGGCAGAACGUUGGUCUCCAAAACCAAAUGUCGAGGGUUCGAGUCCUUCUACCCCUGCCA
rnacentral:tRNA from 2 species